rnacentral:lncRNA from 1 species
AGCCCGUGAACGGGGAAAGCUGGGGCAGGGCAGGGGCAGCGGGAGAUGGGGCAGCUUGGAGGAUGGAUUGUGCUGCACUGGGGGGUGUCCCCACAGGCUCCCCAGCUGCCUUUGGCUCCCUGCCUGCCCCCCUUGGCAGCCGCGGGGGCCUGGGCCCUUGCAGGGGCAGCUGCCCCGUGCAGGGAGCCGCAGGGAUGCGGGGAGGGGGGCUGGAUCCGUGCCGCAGCUGGGAUGGACUCUGUGCCAGGCCUGGGCUUGUGGCCAGGGCUGGGGGCUGUGCCAAGCCGGCCUUUGGCCUGGGGGCUCUUGGCGAGGGCGCAGGGAGGAGUCCCGGCAGGAUAAAGGUGCUCCUCACCUGGGGCAGCCUCAGCCAGCGCUCCCCACUCACUGGCACAGGAGGAAGAGGAAGAUGAAGGUGGCUGUGCUCGCCGUGGCCCUGCUCUUCUCCAUCCUGCUGUGCCUGCCAGCACAGAGCGAGGCCAUGGAUGGCAGCGGUGAUGAAACCAUUUGUGCCGGGGUAAGUCCUGGAGCUGGGUGCACCCGUGGGGGAGCUGGGGGGGCACUUUGGUCACCCCCAGCCUUUGCUGGGACUGGGGACACCCCAGUGACCGCUGACAUCUCAUGGUCUCUCCACAGAGAGUUGGUGGCAUUGGCAGCAGCCAGGUGGGUACCCCGAGUUCUUCUGCUGGGUGAGACCCUCUCCUCUCUUGGCCAGGACCCUCCAGGGCACCCCAGAGCAGCCCAGGGCGUGGCAGUCCAGCCCGGGGCUUGCCAAGGCUUCCCCAGGGUCCCCAGUGUGUUCCAGCCCAUCCCAGGACACCCAGUCGGGCCCAGGAGCCCCGUGCCCAGCGCAUUUCCUCUCCUCUUUCCCUCCAGUCCUUUCCCUUUCCCACUGGCCGUGCCUGCUGUCCCCAGAGCCCCCUCCUCCACAGCCCCUCCCAAACCCAUCAAUUUUGGGUCUCUGGCCCCGCUUUCUCCUGCCCCCCCCACUCCCCACUGCAGCCCUCA